GAGAGAGUCCCAGGAGACGGCUGCCCUCAGCUACUUGUCCGGCACAGGGCUUUCCUCGGCCACGAUUUCGGCCACCUCCACAAACCUUAUGCUGCUGUUCCCUGGAGCAGAAUGUGUACCAGUCACAGCUUCCCCCUGAGCUCCAGCCCUUCCAAAGUGGGGGAACCAGGGGCAAAUGAAUAGUUGGUUUCCAUCCAUGUUUUUAAAAGACUCCAUGCUCGUGCUGCACAAGCGGGGACUCCUGCUUGCCGUCCGGGCGAUGCCUCUGACUCUCUCUGCCUCUCACCUCUGGAGGUGAGCCACAAGGUCUGAGCCCAGUAAAUGAUUAAGCCCUUCUUUGUUCCCA